rnacentral:rRNA from 1 species
GGGGAAUCUUCCGCAAUGGACGAAAGUCUGACGGAGCAACGCCGCGUGAGUGAUGACGGCCUUCGGGUUGUAAAGCUCUGUUAAUCGGGACGAAUGGUUCUUGUGCGAAUAGUGCGAGGAUUUGACGGUACCGGAAUAGAAAGCCACGGCUAACUACGUGCCAGCAGCCGCGGUAAUACGUAGGUGGCAAGCGUUGUCCGGAAUUAUUGGGCGUAAAGCGCGCGCAGGCGGAUUGGUCAGUCUGUCUUAAAAGUUCGGGGCUUAACCCCGUGAUGGGAUGGAAACUGCCAAUCUAGAGUAUCGGAGAGGAAAGUGGAAUUCCUAGUGUAGCGGUGAAAUGCGUAGAUAUUAGGAAGAACACCAGUGACGAAGGCGACUUUCUGGACGAAAACUGACGCUGAGGCGCGAAAGCCAGGGGAGCGAACGGGAUUAGAUACCCCGGUAGUCCUGGCCGUAAACGAUGGGUACUAGGUGUAGGAGGUAUCGACCCCUUCUGUGCCGGAGUUAACGCAAUAAGUACCCCGCCUGGGGAGUACGACCGCAAGGUUG